UGUUUUUGAUUUGGUUUUCCGAACGGUCGUACCUUCUUCCGCCCACAUCAAAACAGGUUUCUUUAGCCCCGCCCGGUUCUUGUGCAUCCCUUUCUCUCCCCGGCCUUGUCUGUUUACGCCCCGCGCUUUAACAGUAACCAUAAAACCGCCCCCGCGGGAAUAGACAUACGCCCUUAUACCUUUUUCCCAAUCGGAGCUAUUGCCCCUGACCUUCAAACCGGACGAGCGUAAUUUUUGUACCGCAAUUUUGCGAAUAUCGUUCGCCUCCCUGCGAUACGCAUUUCUUAUGCUAUUCCUUAUUUGUCUCGGGGUUAAGGAUUUUAAAAGUUCCGUCCACUCCUUGCCGGUGUAAUCUUUCGGAUCCAUGUCUAUUCGUUUACUCGUUCACAUAGCAAGGUUUUAUAGCCCCUAUCCAAAUUUGGCAUGAUAGCCACGACGGUAUACAGAUAGCCGCCUAACUGACGUACCCGCCAAUUCUCAGCCACCGGGUGGGCGUCACGUAUAUUAAACUCCGCGCCGUAAUCGGGAAAGUGUUCGCCUACCUCUUCGCUACGGUUUCCGUUUGUCCUUACCCGUUCCGCGUGUACGGUUCGUGUUUCGAUAAAAUUGCCGUUGAAACUGGGUUACUUGAGUGUGUUUGAGGUAGGCGGAAUGCGUGGUGUAGCGGUGAAAUGCAUAGAUAUCACGCAGAACUCCGAUUGCGAAGGCAGCUUACUAAACCAUAACUGACACUGAAGCACGAAAGCGUGGGGAUCAAACAGGAUUAGAUACCCUGGUAGUCCACGCAGUAAACGAUGAUUACUAGGAGUUUGCGAUACAAUGUAAGCUCUACAGCGAAAGCGUUAAGUAAUCCACCUGGGGAGUACGCCGGCAACGGUGAAACUCAAAGGAAUUGACGGGGGCCCGCACAAGCGGAGGAACAUGUGGUUUAAUUCGAUGAUACGCGAGGAACCUUACCCGGGCUUAAAUUGCAAAGGAAUAAUCUGGAAACAGAUUAGUCUUCGGACCUUUGUGAAGGUGCUGCAUGGUUGUCGUCAGCUCGUGCCGUGAGGUGUCGGCUUAAGUGCCAUAACGAGCGCAACCCUUAUCACUAGUUACUAACAGGUGAAGCUGAGGACUCUGGUGAGACUGCCAGCGUAAGCUGUGAGGAAGGUGGGGAUGACGUCAAAUCAGCACGGCCCUUACAUCCGGGGCGACACACGUGUUACAAUGGCAUGGACAAAGGGCAGCUACCUGGUGACAGGAUGCUAAUCUCCAAACCAUGUCUCAGUUCGGAUCGGAGUCUGCAACUCGACUCCGUGAAGCUGGAUUCGCUAGUAAUCGCGCAUCAGCCAUGGCGCGGUGAAUACGUUCCCGGGCCUUGUACACACCGCCCGUCAAGCCAUGGGAGCCGGGGGUGCCUGAAGUUCGUGACCGCAAGGAGCGACCUAGGGCAAAACUGGUGACUGGGGCUAAGUCGUAACAAGGUAGCCGUACCGGAAGGUGCGGCUG
rnacentral:rRNA from 1 species